AGCCCACCCCUUCACCUAUUUUACAUUUACAUGCUCUUUUGAUCUAUUGCUAUCCCUAUGUUGCGAUUCUGUUGUGUCACGUGUCCCAUCCACCUGUUAUCUAUAUGUCCGAGAUACACCUCCUCGCCCUACCUAUUGUUUGUUGUUUGCCAGCUUCGCGAGUCGUAGGCGAGUUUAGGGUCUUGUUGAUAUCUCGAGAUGUUCGGGAUAUCUUGUUGGGAGGUUAUCACAUGCUAUAUCAUUGUUGGAGAUAUUCACACUUUACUUUAUUGUUAACAACUAAAA